rnacentral:rRNA from 1 species
GAUGAACGCUGGCGGCGUGCUUAACACAUGCAAGUCGAACGGGAAACCUUUUAAUGAAGCUUCGGCAGAUUUAGCUGGUUUCUAGUGGCGGACGGGUGAGUAACGCGUGGGUAACCUGCCUUAUACAGGGGGAUAACAGUCAGAAAUGACUGCUAAUACCGCAUAAGCGCACAGGACCGCAUGGUCCGGUGUGAAAAACUCCGGUGGUAUAAGAUGGACCCGCGUUGGAUUAGCUUGUUGGUGGGGUAACGGCUCACCAAGGCGACGAUCCAUAGCCGGCCUGAGAGGGUGAACGGUCACAUUGGGGCUGAGACACGGCCCAGACUCCUACGGGAGGCAGCAGUGGGGAAUAUUGCACAAUGGGGGAAACCCUGAUGCAGCGACGCCGCGUGAAGGAAGAAGUAUCUCGGUAUGUAAACUUCUAUCAGCAGGGAAGAUAGUGACGGUAC